GACGAACGCUGGCGGCGUGCUUAACACAUGCAAGUCGAGCGGUAAGGCCCUUUCGGGGGUACACGAGCGGCGAACGGGUGAGUAACACGUGGGUGACCUGCCUUUAGCUCUGGGAUAAGCCUGGGAAACUGGGUCUAAUACCGGAUACGACUCCGCGGUGCAUGCUGUGGGGUGGAAAGCCUUGUGCGGCUGGAGAUGGGCCCGCGGCCUAUCAGCUUGUUGGUGGGGUGAUGGCCUACCAAGGCGACGACGGGUAGCCGGCCUGAGAGGGCGACCGGCCACACUGGGACUGAGACACGGCCCAGACUCCUACGGGAGGCAGCAGUGGGGAAUUUUGGACAAUGGGGGCAACCCUGAUCCAGCC
rnacentral:rRNA from 1 species